rnacentral:rRNA from 1 species
UACAGAGACUGCAAGCGUUAUUCGGAUUCACUGGGCGUAAAGGGUGCGCAGGCGGCCAAGUGUGUGAGGCGUGAAAGCCUGGAGCUUAACUCCAGAAUUGCACCUCAAACUACAUGGCUAGAGCAUUGGAGAGGGUAGCGGAAUUCACGGUGUAGCAGUGAAAUGCGUAGAGAUCCGGAGGAACGCCGGUGGCGAAAGCGGCCACCUGGGUCUCUUCGUGACGCU